CUUGACCGAGCCGAGGUGCAGCGGACGGCCGGUCUCGCGGCCCCGCCCGUAGACGGCCUGCAGCGCCUGCACCUC
rnacentral:antisense_RNA from 1 species